UGAUGGUUUUUCUGUUCGUGGCGGACAUAUAGUAUGCUUAACACAUGCAAGUCGAACGAAAGUUUUCCAACUUUAGUGGCGAACGGGUGCGUAAUACGUGAGAAUCUGCCCUUAGGAGAAGAAUAACUGCUGGAAACGGCUGCUAAAUCUUCAUAUGUCGAGAGAUGAAAUAGCUUAGGCUGCCUAAGGAUGAGCUCACGCCUGAUUAGCUAGUUGGUAAGGUAAUGGCUUACCAAGGCCACGAUCAGUAGCUGGUUUGAGAGAACGAUCAGCCACACUGGGACUGAGACACGGCCCAGACUCCUCCGGGAGGCAGCAGUGAGGAAUUUUCCGCAAUGGGCGAAAGCCUGACGGAGCAAUACCGCGUGAGGGAUGAAGGAUUUUGGUCUGUAAACCUCUUUUCUCAAGAAAGAAGUUCUGACGGUACUUGAGGAAUAAGCAUCGGCUAACUCCGUGCCAGCAGCCGCGGUAAUACGGGGGAUGCAAGCGUUAUCCGGAAUCAUUGGGCGUAAAGCGCCUGUAGGUUGUUUAAUAAGUCUGUUGUUAAAGACUAGGGCUUAACCCUAGAGAAGCAAUGGAAACUACUAGACUAGAGUAUGGCAGGGGUAGAGGGAAUUUCUAGUGUAGCGGUGAAAUGCGUAGAUAUUAGAAAGAACACCGGUGGCGAAAGCGCUCUACUGGACCAUUACUGACACUCAGAGGCGAAAGCUAGGGUAGCAAAAGGGAUUAGAUACCCCUGUAGUCCUAGCCGUAAACGAUGGAUACUAGAUGUUGUGCAUAACGUACAGUAUCGUAGCUAACGCGUUAAGUAUCCCGCCUGGGGAGUACGACCGCAAGGUUAAAACUCAAAUGAAUUGACGGGGACCCGCACAAGUAGUGGAGCAUGUGGU
rnacentral:rRNA from 1 species